rnacentral:rRNA from 1 species
AGUGAACGCUGGCGGUAGGCCUAACACAUGCAAGUCGAACGGCAGCACAGUAAGAGCUUGCUCUUACGGGUGGCGAGUGGCGGACGGGUGAGGAAUACAUCGGAAUCUACUUUCUCGUGGGGGAUAACGUAGGGAAACUUACGCUAAUACCGCAUACGACCUACGGGUGAAAGCAGGGGAUCUUCGGACCUUGCGCGAUUGAAUGAGCCGAUGUCGGAUUAGCUAGUUGGCGGGGUAAAGGCCCACCAAGGCGACGAUCCGUAGCUGGUCUGAGAGGAUGAUCAGCCACACUGGAACUGAGACACGGUCCAGACUCCUACGGGAGGCAGCAGUGGGGAAUAUUGGACAAUGGGCGCAAGCCUGAUCCAGCCAUACCCCGUGGGUGAAGAAGGCCUUCGGGUUGUAAAGCCCUUUUGUUGGGAAAGAAAAGCAGCAGGUUAAUACCCCGCUGUUCUGACGGUACCCAAAGAAUAAGCACCGGCUAACUUCGUG